GACGAACGCUGGCGGCGUGCCUAAUACAUGCAAGUUGAGCGCUGAAGGUUGGUACUUGUACCAACUGGAUGAGCAGCGAACGGGUGAGUAACGCGUGGGGAAUCUGCCUUUGAGCGGGGGACAACAUUUGGAAACGAAUGCUAAUACCGCAUAAAAACUUUAAACACAAGUUUUAAGUUUGAAAGAUGCAAUUGCAUCACCCAAAGAUGAUCCCGCGUUGUAUUAGCUAGUUGGUGAGGUAAAGGCUCACCAAGGCGAUGAUACAUAGCCGACCUGAGAGGGUGGUGGGCCACAUUGGGACUGAGACACGGCCCAAACCCCUACGGGAGGCAGCAGUGGGGAAUCUUCGGCAAUGGACGAAAGUCUGCCCGAGCAACCCCGCGGGAGUGAAGAAGGUUUUCGGAUCGUAAAACUCUGUUGGUAGAGAAGAACGUGGGUGGGAGGGGAAAGCUCAUCAAGUGACGGUAACUACCCAGAAAAGGACGGCGAACUCCGU
rnacentral:rRNA from 1 species